rnacentral:misc_RNA from 1 species
GAUGAAGAACGUAGCGAAUUGCGAUAAGUAAUGUGAAUUGCAGAAUUACGUGAAUCAUCGAAUAUUUGAACGCAUAUUGCACUCUCUGGUAUUCCGGGGAGUAUGCCUGUUUGAGGGUCAGUAAAUAAUAAUUAUCAUAAUCUUUUGAUUGUGGAAUUGGGCCUUUAUUUCAUUUUAAUGAUUUAUGGUCUUAAAUUUAUGUUACCGCUUGUUUUAAUAUGAAAUUCGACCAAAUGGAGCAAUUAAACAUUCUCUCGUUAGGCGGAUUCAUCAAGCAAUUACGAUUUUUUGGCCGUCGAAGCACUUUUUUUUAGAAGUGCUUGGUCAAGAUUGUAAGAUACAUUUUUUAACAAUGACCUCAAAUCAGGCAAGAAUACCCGCUGAACUUAAGCAUAUCAAUAAGCGGAGGA